rnacentral:rRNA from 1 species
AGUGAACGCUGGCGGUAGGCCUAACACAUGCAAGUCGAACGGCAGCACAGUAAGAGCUUGCUCUUACGGGUGGCGAGUGGCGGACGGGUGAGGAAUACAUCGGAAUCUACUUUUUCGUGGGGGAUAACGUAGGGAAACUUACGCUAAUACCGCAUACGACCUACGGGUGAAAGCAGGGGAUCUUCGGACCUUGCGCGAUUGAAUGAGCCGAUGUCGGAUUAGCUAGUUGGCGGGGUAAAGGCCCACCAAGGCGACGAUCCGUAGCUGGUCUGAGAGGAUGAUCAGCCACACUGGAACUGAGACACGGUCCAGACUCCUACGGGAGGAAGCAGUGGGGAAUAUUGGACAAUGGGCGCAAGCCUGAUCCAGCCAUACCGCGUGGGUGAAGAAGGCCUUCGGGUGGUAAAGCCCUUUUGUUGGGAAAGAAAAGCAGCAGGUUAAUACCCCGCUGUUCUGACGGUACCCAAAGAAUAAGCACCGGCUAACUUCGU